CGGAGGAUUCGAGCGUUGUCCGGAUUUAUUGGGUUUAAAGGGUGCGUAGGCGGAUUAUUAAGUCAGAGGUGAAAGCCGGCAGCUCAACUGUCGAAUUGCCUUUGAAACUGGUAGUCUUGAAUACUGUUGAGGUGGGCGGAAUGUAUCAUGUAGCGGUGAAAUGCUUAGAUAUGAUACAGAACAACGAUUGCGAAGGCAGCUCACUAAGCAGUUAUUGACGCUGAGGCACGAAAGCGUGGGGAUCAAACAGGAUUAGAUACCCUGGUAGUCCACGCCGUAAACGUUGAACACUUGCUGUUGGCGAUAUACAGUCAGCGGCUCAGCGCAAGCGUUAAGUGUUCCACCUGGGGAGUACGGCCGCAAGGUUG
rnacentral:rRNA from 1 species